UACGGAGGGUGCCAGCGUUAUCCGGAUUCACUGGGUUUAAAGGGUGCGUAGGAGGGCAGGUAAGUCAGUGGUGAAAUCUCCAAGCUUAACUUGGAAACUGCCGUUGAUACUAUCUGUCUUGAAUAUUGUGGAGGUGAGCGGAAUAUGUCAUGUAGCGGUGAAAUGCUUAGAUAUGACAUAGAACACCAAUUGCGAAGGCAGCUCACUACUCAAUCAUUGACUCUGAGGCACGAAAGCGUGGGGAUCAAACAGG
rnacentral:rRNA from 1 species